rnacentral:lncRNA from 1 species
GGUAGCGCCGCGCCGGCCGCCUCUGCCCGGACGCUCAGGAAAUGGUCCCGCCACGGCGGGAGGGAGCGGCUGGGCCGCGCUGUCACAGGAAACGCGGGGCCCGCCCGCCACACUGCCCCAACUGUGCCCUCGACCCUCUGGGGAAGAGGCUCGCCCGGGCGGCCGCCCAGAGGGAAAGAGGACAGUCGGGGCUCCGGAGCGUCUACCGGGUCAGCACAGAGAACGCGGAUUCGCUAGUUUAAAUGGCUCCCUGCGCUCCACGUGCGCACCUCGGAGUGCACGCUCGUCUAGUCUAGCCUAACAGUGGAGAGAACCCCGGACUCGGAGUUUGCCUAAAGAUAGACCCUGCCCACACUUGUGGAUCUACUUGAUCUGACUUGGGGCCUCUGGAAGGAAGCUGUGAAAAGCCACCCUCUUCUCCAGUUAAAUACUUAGUGCUUAAUUAGGCCCAGGCUUCAAGUCAGUAUGAAGGGAAUAAAGCCAACAGCUGCAAAUUCAAAAGGAACACGUUGCUGUGGAUUAAUUCUGCAACAUAGACUUCCUAGUCGCACAAAAGAGAAGUUUAUGUGAAUCGUUACUUAACAUCACUGAUGCUCAAAAAUUAGUGCCUAACUGGAUGUCAGGGGUGCUCGCCUUUAAUCUCAGCACACAGGAGGCAGAGGCAAGCAGAUCUCUGUGAGUUCAAGGCCAGCCUGCUCUACAGAGUGAGUUUCAGGACAGUUAGAGCUACACUGACGGCCACUGUCUCACAAGACC